GAUGAACGCUGGCGGCGUGCUUAACACAUGCAAGUCGAACGGAAAGGCCUCUGCUUGCAGGGGUACUCGAGUGGCGAACGGGUGAGUAACACGUGGGUGAUCUGCCCUGCACUUCGGGAUAAGCCUGGGAAACUGGGUCUAAUACCGGAUAGGACAAUGGUUUGGAUGCUGUUGUGGAAAGUUUUUCGGUGUGGGAUGAGCUCGCGGCCUAUCAGCUUGUUGGUGGGGUAAUGGCCUACCAAGGCGUCGACGGGUAGCCGGCCUGAGGGGGUGUACGGCCACAUUGGGACUGAGAUACGGCCCAGACUCCUACGGGAGGCAGCAGUGGGGAAUAUUGCACAAUGGGCGCAAGCCUGAUGCAGCGACGCCGCGUGGGGGAUGACGGCCUUCGGGUUGUAAACUCCUUUCGCUAGGGACGAAGCGUUUUUGUGACGGUACCUGGAGAAGAAGCACCGGCUAACUACGUG
rnacentral:rRNA from 1 species